CAAGGGUAUUCAUCGUGAGGUGACAGGAUGGAAUGACGGAAGUCAGACGACGCCGUAGUAGUGAUAACUAACCGAUAUCAUGAAGAGC
rnacentral:ncRNA from 1 species